CCUAGAGCCCGAGGAGUAUGUGGAGGAGCUUGCGGGGGUGAUGCCCGAGGAAGCUGCUGACCUCGAUGCAGAGGCCAUGCCAGAGUCCCUGAGAUACGAGGAGCUGGUCCAAAGAAAUGUGGAACUCUUCAUUGCCACCUCCCAGAAGUUUAUCCAGGAGAAAGAGCUGAGCCAAAGCAUCAGGGACUGGGAAGAUACCAUCCAACCCCUGCUCCAGGAGCAGGAGCAACAUGUGCCCUUUGAUAUCCAUACCUAUGGGGACCAGUUGGUUUCAGGGUUCCCCCAGCUCAAUGAAUGGUGUCCCUUUUCAGAGCUUGUAGCAGGGCAGCCUGCUUUUGAGGUGUGCCGCUCCAUGCUGGCCUCUUUGCAUCUGGCUAAUGACUACACAGUGGAGAUUACUCAGCAGCCAGGACUGGAGGAAGCUGUGGACACAAUGUCUCUGAGACUGCUCAUACACCAGCGAGCCCACACCCACUUCCAGACCUAUGCUGCACCAUCCAUGGCCCAGACUUGA